rnacentral:lncRNA from 1 species
UGCCGAAUCCUACUCCUAACUAAAUAGACUCUGAACUGAUUCUUAAACUGUACUGGAUUGAACUAAAUCUGUUACUGAUCAUACUAUUUAACUGAGCUGAAAUGAGAUUAUUGAGUUCCGUUGACUGACAAAAUACUGCUGAAUUCUAUUAACUGACUGAAUGCUAUUGCGUUCUGAACUGAAUACUUAAAUAUUACUGAGGUCUGAACUGAAUACUGAACUGGACUUGGAAUGAUACUGAGCUUACUGAAUUUUCCUAAGUCAUGUAACUGACUGAGUUCUACUAAAUUCUGUAAC